CUUCCACCUUGACAGUGGAUCCUCCAGCCCAAGUCAAGCCUUCAUAUAUCUGCUAUCCUAAAUGACAUUGUAACUGAAACUUCAUGAGACAAGAAGCCAGAGCCAGUCAAAUGAGGUGCUCCCAAAUUCUUGACUUAGAAAAACUAUGAAAUAAUAAAUCUGUUCAUUCAACAAAAACACCUGGGUGGGCCAUAUAUGUAGCAUGCUGUACUACUUGCUAUGGAAAUGCAAAGAAGAAUUUCGCCCAAGACUAUGUAGUAGCAAAGAUGAGACUCUGAGCAAGUGGCACUGUCAUCCAAGAGUGUGCAAUGGCACAAAGAUACCAUCAGAAGCAAUAAAUCUCAACACAAGAGUUCAAGAAUGAACAGGAAAUGCAAAUGUGAAAAGGAGGAAGGGGACAAUUCCAG